GAAAAAUACUGCCAACCUCCUUCCUUCGAUAACAUGUUUAUUUACAACUGAAAAUGGUGCCUUCAUUGCCAUGUGAACUGACUCUAGAAAUUCUCUCCGACAACUCCUCCUUGAAUAAUCCAUUCCAACUAUCUGACUACAAAACCUUCCUCAUUUUCCAUUCCAAAGACUACCCCUCCUGCUCUCAAUGACCAAAGCAGAUUAUUGGUAGAAAUCGUGAGUUUGGAGGUAUCCAUAUCUUUAACACACGGGCAUUGAGAUCUAUUGCUUAUUCUAGUGUUUUGACCCCUUUGAGGUGCAUUUUG
rnacentral:misc_RNA from 1 species